rnacentral:misc_RNA from 1 species
GAAAGAUAAUAAUAAUAAAUUGAUUCCGGCUGAUUGGUCAGAAAUCUAGAUGGUUAUGUUUCCACUAGGUAAUAAUUAAUCGGACACUGCCUUAUGCAGAGGGCAAAGUUGAAGUAGCAACUUGUUUUAACUUGACAAUUGACUUUCCAAGCCAAACAAUAAAAUGUGAAAAUGGCAUCCUAAACUUUCUCAGAGAUAGACAGUAGAAACCACAAUGUAAACUCCAAAUUGCCCAACUGUUCUUAGUCCCAUGUUCAACAUCCAAAAAGAGAUUUGCGCUAUAAAUUAUUUGCUUUGAGUCCAUAUCCCUGUUGUUGCUUCCUCAGCAUAGAUUUGCUCUUUG